rnacentral:lncRNA from 1 species
UUCUUCGCUAUAAAAGUAAUGAAGAAAGGAAGACAAUUCUGAGCAGUGGGAUACCAGCACUUCAAUUCAAUAGCAAACACCAAACAUUAAUCAGUACAGGUGGCACAAUCCAGCAGAAACUGGAAGGCUCCACUGAAUCAGCAUGAGUCAGCUGAAGCAGCAAGAAAUAGCUGGAAUACCACAAGAAGUUCUUUGGAGUUUUUCUCUCUAUGAAGUGAAGUCCAAUGAAGCAUUGCACAGCCAGUGGAAGCCAGUGAAGUGUUGCAUGGCCAGCAAAGACCAGCAAAGGCUGGCAAAAACCAGCAAGCCAUUGCAAUACAAAAGUGUCCUCUGUGUUUGUGGGGUUCUGUUUAUCUUCUUUCUAAACGUCACACACCCUCUCAAGAGUCUGUUUUCAGCAACACGCCACAUGCUUUCUUUUAAAAUAGCUUCUGGAAAAACAUCAUGGUGGACAACUGAAUUUUUAAAUAAACCAGAAACUUCCACUUCAGGAUGCACUUGAAAUUGGGAGUUCCUGGAGCCUCAUUUUAAAGACUUGAACUACAGUUUCCUUAUACUCCUGCACAGUGUAAGACCUUGAACACUGAAGGGUUUCCUCUGUGGUGGUAUGUGUCCUAACUUUCCAGUGUUGGCUUUGCCCACUCUCAGGCUUCCUUUCUCUGAAAUGUUUCUGUUGGCACUCACGUCCUUGCCUGCAACAGAUUCAGCAUUUUUUUUUCUCUAACUCAGAAGUCGAGAAAAGAAGUCUAGGAAAAUAUGUAUAUAUUCAAAAUUUUUGUUGGCACAUCUAGGCAUUUAAAGACACGUUCCUUGUAUUCAAAGCUUCUGGUCUGAUUAACAUCUAACAGAAAACCCCUGGUCUAAUUUGUCCUGUCUGGUUCCAUGACCUAUAAAUGGCUGGAGUUUGCUAUGUAAACUGUUCCUGUUAAAAGAGUUACAAGGGGGCACUGGAGAGAAGGUUCAACAGUUAAGGACACUCAUUGCUCUUUUCAGGGACCUGGGUUUAGUUCCCGGAUCCCCUGUGGUGAUUCACACCUGCCUGUAACUUCAGUUCAGCUAACCCUGCUUUGACUUCCAUGGGCACCAGGUACAUACACCCAUAGAGGUGGUAUAUACACCCAUAGAGGUGGUACAUACACCCAUAGAGGUGUAAUGUUUUGUUCACUGUGUGAAGUUAUCCUUGUAUUAUUUAAAUGCUGGUUUCUCUGCCCCCAUAUCUAGUUGCAGUCUGAAUAUGGCAUUGUAACGCUUAUCCUAAGAAUCUCCUGGUCUCAGGUUUGUAUAAGCAUCAUUCCCUAUUUGUUCUUUGAUUUGUCAAUAAAAGCUGUUCAGCC